rnacentral:lncRNA from 1 species
AUCGAACUACCGUGAUUGUUGAAGUUCAGUAACAAAAUCGCAGCAACUUCGAUAAAAUCUGAAUACUGAGGUAAGUGAUUCAUAUGCAUAUAGUUACCUCUGUUUUCUACGAAUUCCUAUAUUGAUAACUUUUCUUAAGUUUUUCACGUUUAAAAUGGUUACUACAAAUACCUAUAACGAUUGUUUUAUUCAUUGAUAUGUUUUGUAUUAUGGUUACUAAAUAUAUAUAAAUUGGUUACUGUUUAUUGUGUAUUUAUUUUUAAAUAAUGUUUAUUUGAUGGCUUUAUAAUUUUUAAAUGAGUUCUCCUGAUUUUUUUAUAUUAAUGGUUACUCAUCAAAUAAAUUAGUUACCUUCAUGCAACUGUUGUUUACUUUCUAAUAUUGUUUUGGUUACUGUCUAAUGCUGACUUGGUUACUAUCUAAUGAUGUAUUGGAUUCUGUGUAACAAUAUAUUGGUUACUAAUUAAUGCUGAUUCGGUUACUGUGUAGCAUUAUAUGGUUACUGAAUAUUGCUGAGUUGGUUGCUGUGUAAAAUUAUAAUGAUUAGUGAAUAAUAUUACUGAACAUUGCUGAUCGGUUAUUGAAAAAUGAUGACUUGGUUACUGACUAAUUUUUAUUUGGUUACUGUUUAACAUUAUAUUGGUUACUGUCUAAUGCUGUUUUGGUUACUGACUAUUGCUGACUUGUUUACUGUGUAAAACUAUAAUGGUUACUGACUAUUGUUGACUUGUUUACUGUGUAAAGCUAUAAUGGUUACUGACUAAUGCUGACUUGGUUACUGUGUAAAAUUAUAUUGCUGACUUGGUUACUGUGUAAAAUUAUCUAGUGACUAAUGCUGACUUAAUUGGUUACUGACCAAUGCUGAAUUGGUUACUGACUAAUGCAAACUUAAUUACUGCAGAGAUUAUUGGUUACUGUAAUAUUGGUUGCUGAAGCAUAUUAAUGUAUAAUGUUGUCAAGUUUGGAGUGUCAGAUUUUGGCAUUUUCGGAGCCUAAUUUCAUUGGAAACGGAUCAACGAUAAAAAAUCACUAGCUUUGCUGGUGAACUGCAUGGUUUUUUGGUCAAAUUCCAUCAUUUAGGCCUUCAAAACUGCAUGUAAAAAUUUGGUUUAUUUUCUGGUUACUAAGAUUAUGUAGUUUGGUUACUGUCUAAUAUUGAUUUGGUUACUUUAUAAUGUUUAUUCAGUUGUCAGACAAUGGAGACUGACAGUAACCAAUACAACAAAUUUAAUUAUUUACAGGAAUAUAUAAUUGUUUAAUGUUAGUAACCAUUAACCACAUGGUUGGUAACAUUUUUGAUGGUGUACAGUAACCAAAAUUGAUGUUGAUUAACAAAGUCAGUAUACUGAUUGUUUUGAUAACAAAGUCAGUAUACUGACUGUGUAACAUUAUAUUGUCUAAUGUUGUCUUAGUUACUGACUAAUGUUGUCUUGGUUACUGCAUAAUAUUACUAAUUCAUGCUGACUUGGUUACUGACUAAUGCUGACUUGGUUACUGCAUAAUAUUACUAAUUAAUGCUGACUUGGUUACUGACUAAUGCUGAUUUGGUUACUAAGUAAUAUUAUAUUGGUUACUGACUAAUGUUGACUUGCUUACUGUGUAACACUAUAAUGGUUAUUGACUAAUUCUGAAUUGGUUACUGUAUAAAAUUAUAAUGCUGACUUGGUUACUGUGUAAAAAUAUUAUUUAGUGACUCAUGCUGACUUGGUUACUGACUAAUGCAAACUUAAUUACCGCAGUGAUUAAUUGGUUACUGUAUUAUUGGUUGCUGAAUCAUAUUAAUGUACACUUCUACUUAUGUUUUUUAUAUUAAUGGUUACUUGUUAGCCAAAUUGGUUACAUUCUUACAAAAGUCUACCUUUAGUUGGUAACAAACAAAUUAUACUGGUUGUUUUUUACUGUAAAAUGCAAUGAAAAAUGUGUUUAUGUUUUGGUUACUACAUAGACAUAUGUUGGUUACUGUCUAAUCUAAAUUUGGUUACUGUAUAAUGUUAUUAUGAUUACUGUAUAAUAUUAGUGUAUUUUAUACUGGUUUGUUUUAUAUUGACGAUUACUUAUUGACUACAUUGCUUAACUUCGUACAACUGUUAGUCUUUAGGUGGUAACAAACUGAUGCGGUUGAAGAGCAGGCGUGUCAAUUUCUGUAAAGAUUUGAUCCAGUGAGAAUUUGGUAAUUUUUGACAAGUUUGGAGUGUCGAAUUUUGGCGUUUUCGGAGCCUAAUUUCAUUGGAAACGGGUCAACGAUCAAAAGUCACAAGCUUUGCUGGUGAACUGCAGGAUUUUUUGAUCAAAUUCCAUCAUUUAGACCUUCAAAAUUGCAUGUAAAAAUUUGGUUUAUAUUCUGG